GCUCUUUCUUCCCCGCUGCGGACCCCCCGCGGGCGGCGGGGAGCGGGCGGGGAGCUCGCCAUGCCCGGCCCGGCCCGACCCGGUGCGGUCCGGUCCGGGGGGGGGGCGGCGGGGAAGCGGAGCCGGCUCCGUGCCCGCACCCUCGGGGCGCUGGGUCCGGCCCCCGGCGGGCCGGGCUCAGCCGAAAUCCCUCGCUCGUGGCACGGCCCGGGAGGAACGGGCUGGGGGAGCCGCGGGCUGGACCCCUCCGAGGUGGUACCCCGAGGUGCCUGGAAGGGGGUGCUUGUGCCCCAUCGAGGGGCCGAGCACAUGGCAUCGCCCCCGGGCUGCUGCUGCUGUGCCACCGCGCUGCCCCGCACCGCCCGCGGGCUGCCCUGACCCCACGGAGGCUUCGGAGGGGAGAGAGGAGGCUGCUGAGAAAGGCACUGCUGCAAGGAGCCGCCGGGAGCUCCAGGCUGAAGAGACCUGCCUCCCCUGGGAGACCUCUGCUAAAGGUGAAGACCUCCAAGCAGACCAGGCAGAUUUAGCAGGAGCUCAGGAAUUUUACAUCAAGGCCUGGGAGGGGAAGGUGAAGAAAAUGCCUGCUGUUCUGGCUGGGAAGAGUUUGAGAAGGCAGACCGAGCCAGCAGCUCAUGGGAAGGAGGCAGGAGGCUGGGCCUGUGCAGGAGCGAUCUGUGAGGGCCUGGGGAGCUGCUGGGCCAUCAGGGGACGUGCAGCUGAAACUUAUUUAAUUUCUCUUUAA
rnacentral:lncRNA from 1 species